ACAGCAGCAGCCGCGGUAAUACGGAGGGUGCAAGCGUUAAUCGGAAUUACUGGGCGUAAAGCGCACGCAGGCGGUCUGUCAAGUCAGAUGUGAAAUCCCCGGGCUUAACCUGGGAACUGCAUUUGAAACUGGCAGGCUAGAGUCUUGUAGAGGGGGGUAGAAUUCCAGGUGUAGCGGUGAAAUGCGUAGAGAUCUGGAGGAAUACCGGUGGCGAAGGCGGCCCCCUGGACAAAGACUGACGCUCAGGUGCGAAAGCGUGGGGAGCAAACAGGAUUAAAUACCCCAGUAGUCCCUGUCUCUUAUCA
rnacentral:rRNA from 1 species